rnacentral:rRNA from 1 species
UUAAGCGACUAAGCGUACACGGUGGAUGCCCUGGCAGUCAGAGGCGAUGAAGGACGUGCUAAUCUGCGAUAAGCGUCGGUAAGGUGAUAUGAACCGUUAUAACCGGCGAUUUCCGAAUGGGGAAACCCAGUGUGUUUCGACACACUAUCAUUAACUGAAUCCAUAGGUUAAUGAGGCGAACCGGGGGAACUGAAACAUCUAAGUACCCCGAGGAAAAGAAAUCAACCGAGAUUCCCCCAGUAGCGGCGAGCGAACGGGGAGCAGCCCAGAGCCUGAAUCAGUAUGUGUGUUAGUGGAAGCGUCUGGAAAGGCGCGCGAUACAGGGUGACAGCCCCGUACACAAAAAUGCACAUAUUGUGAGCUCGAUGAGUAGGGCGGGACACGUGGUAUCCUGUCUGAAUAUGGGGGGACCAUCCUCCAAGGCUAAAUACUCCUGACUGACCGAUAGUGAACCAGUACCGUGAGGGAAAGGCGAAAAGAACCCCGGCGAGGGGAGUGAAAAAGAACCUGAAACCGUGUACGUACAAGCAGUGGGAGCACGCUUAGGCGUGUGACUGCGUACCUUUUGUAUAAUGGGUCAGCGACUUAUAUUCUGUAGCAAGGUUAACCGAAUAGGGGAGCCGAAGGGAAACCGAGUCUUAACUGGGCGUUAAGUUGCAGGGUAUAGACCCGAAACCCGGUGAUCUAGCCAUGGGCAGGUUGAAGGUUGGGUAACACUAACUGGAGGACCGAACCGACUAAUGUUGAAAAAUUAGCGGAUGACUUGUGGCUGGGGGUGAAAGGCCAAUCAAACCGGGAGAUAGCUGGUUCUCCCCGAAAGCUAUUUAGGUAGCGCCUCGUGAAUUCAUCUCCGGGGGUAGAGCACUGUUUCGGCAAGGGGGUCAUCCCGACUUACCAACCCGAUGCAAACUGCGAAUACCGGAGAAUGUUAUCACGGGAGACACACGGCGGGUGCUAACGUCCGUCGUGAAGAGGGAAACAACCCAGACCGCCAGCUAAGGUCCCAAAGUCAUGGUUAAGUGGGAAACGAUGUGGGAAGGCCCAGACAGCCAGGAUGUUGGCUUAGAAGCAGCCAUCAUUUAAAGAAAGCGUAAUAGCUCACUGGUCGAGUCGGCCUGCGCGGAAGAUGUAACGGGGCUAAACCAUGCACCGAAGCUGCGGCAGCGACGCUGAUGCGUUGUUGGGUAGGGGAGCGUUCUGUAAGCCUGCGAAGGUGUGCUGUGAGGCAUGCUGGAGGUAUCAGAAGUGCGAAUGCUGACAUAAGUAACGAUAAAGCGGGUGAAAAGCCCGCUCGCCGGAAGACCAAGGGUUCCUGUCCAACGUUAAUCGGGGCAGGGUGAGUCGACCCCUAAGGCGAGGCCGAAAGGCGUAGUCGAUGGGAAACAGGUUAAUAUUCCUGUACUUGGUGUUACUGCGAAGGGGGGACGGAGAAGGCUAUGUUGGCCGGGCGACGGUUGUCCCGGUUUAAGCGUGUAGGCUGGUUUUCCAGGCAAAUCCGGAAAAUCAAGGCUGAGGCGUGAUGACGAGGCACUACGGUGCUGAAGCAACAAAUGCCCUGCUUCCAGGAAAAGCCUCUAAGCAUCAGGUAACAUCAAAUCGUACCCCAAACCGACACAGGUGGUCAGGUAGAGAAUACCAAGGCGCUUGAGAGAACUCGGGUGAAGGAACUAGGCAAAAUGGUGCCGUAACUUCGGGAGAAGGCACGCUGAUAUGUAGGUGAAGUCCCUCGCGGAUGGAGCUGAAAUCAGUCGAAGAUACCAGCUGGCUGCAACUGUUUAUUAAAAACACAGCACUGUGCAAACACGAAAGUGGACGUAUACGGUGUGACGCCUGCCCGGUGCCGGAAGGUUAAUUGAUGGGGUUAGCCGCAAGGCGAAGCUCUUGAUCGAAGCCCCGGUAAACGGCGGCCGUAACUAUAACGGUCCUAAGGUAGCGAAAUUCCUUGUCGGGUAAGUUCCGACCUGCACGAAUGGCGUAAUGAUGGCCAGGCUGUCUCCACCCGAGACUCAGUGAAAUUGAACUCGCUGUGAAGAUGCAGUGUACCCGCGGCAAGACGGAAAGACCCCGUGAACCUUUACUAUAGCUUGACACUGAACAUUGAGCCUUGAUGUGUAGGAUAGGUGGGAGGCUUAGAAGUGUGGACGCCAGUCUGCAUGGAGCCGACCUUGAAAUACCACCCUUUAAUGUUUGAUGUUCUAACGUUGACCCGUAAUCCGGGUUGCGGACAGUGUCUGGUGGGUAGUUUGACUGGGGCGGUCUCCUCCUAAAGAGUAACGGAGGAGCACGAAGGUUGGCUAAUCCUGGUCGGACAUCAGGAGGUUAGUGCAAUGGCAUAAGCCAGCUUGACUGCGAGCGUGACGGCGCGAGCAGGUGCGAAAGCAGGUCAUAGUGAUCCGGUGGUUCUGAAUGGAAGGGCCAUCGCUCAACGGAUAAAAGGUACUCCGGGGAUAACAGGCUGAUACCGCCCAAGAGUUCAUAUCGACGGCGGUGUUUGGCACCUCGAUGUCGGCUCAUCACAUCCUGGGGCUGAAGUAGGUCCCAAGGGUAUGGCUGUUCGCCAUUUAAAGUGGUACGCGAGCUGGGUUUAGAACGUCGUGAGACAGUUCGGUCCCUAUCUGCCGUGGGCGCUGGAGAACUGAGGGGGGCUGCUCCUAGUACGAGAGGACCGGAGUGGACGCAUCACUGGUGUUCGGGUUGUCAUGCCAAUGGCACUGCCCGGUAGCUAAAUGCGGAAGAGAUAAGUGCUGAAAGCAUCUAAGCACGAAACUUGCCCCGAGAUGAGUUCUCCCUGACUCCUUGAGAGUCCUGAAGGAACGUUGAAGACGACGACGUUGAUAGGCCGGGUGUGUAAGCGCAGCGAUGCGUUGAGCUAACCGGUACUAAUGAACCGUGAGGCUUAACCUU